CCUACGGGAGGCAGCAGUGAGGAAUAUUGGUCAAUGGGCGAGAGCCUGAACCAGCCAAGUCGCGUGAAGGAUGACGGCCCUACGGGUUGUAAACUUCUUUUGUCAGGGAGCAAUUGGGUCCACGCGUGGGCUUAGCGAGAGUACCUGAAGAAAAAGCAUCGGCUAACUCCGUGCCAGAAGCCGCGGUAAUACGGAGGAUGCGAGCGUUAUCCGGAUUUAUGGGGUUUAAAGGGUGCGUGGGCGGAAUAUCAAGGCAGCGGUAAAACUUCGGGGCUAAACCCCGUCGUGCCGUUGAAACUGGUGUUCUUGAGUGGGCGUGAAGUAGGCGGAAUGCGUGGUGUAGCGGUGAAAUGCAUAGAUAGCACGCAGAACUCCGAUUGCGAAGGCAGCAUACCGGCGCCCAACUGACGCUGAAGCACGAAAGCGUGGGUAUCGAACAGGAUUAGAUACCCGGGUAGUC
rnacentral:rRNA from 1 species